GUGAAGAACGCAGCGAAAUGCGAUAAGUAAUGUGAAUUGCAGAAUUCAGUGAAUCAUCGAAUCUUUGAACGCACAUUGCGCCCGCUAGUAUUCUGGCGGGCAUGCCUGUCUGAGCGUCAUUUCAACCCUCGCCCCCGGCUUUUGCUGGGAGCGGUGUUGGGGAUCGGCCGCCCGUCACUGGGAGGCCGGCCCCGAAAUAGAGUGGCGACCACGCCGUGUGCUCCUCUGCGUAGUAGUAAGUCACCUCGCAGGCGGACAGCGGUGCGGCCUGCCGUAAAACCCCCAACUCUUUCUGGUUGACCUCAGAUCAGGUAGGAAUACCCGCUGAACUUAAGCAUAUCAAUAAGCGGAGGA
rnacentral:misc_RNA from 1 species